AUUGAACGCUGGCGGCCGGCCUAACACAUGCAAGUCGAGCGGGGUUUUCGGACCUAGCGGCGGACGGGUGAGUAAUGCGUAGGAAGCUACCCGAUAGAGGGGGAUACCAGUUGGAAACGACUGUUAAUACCGCAUAAUGUCUACGGACCAAAGUGUGGGACCUUCGGGCCACAUGCUAUCGGAUGGACCUACGUGGGAUUAGUUAGUUGGUGAGGUAAUGGCUCACCAAGUCGACGAUCCCUAGCUGGUUUGAGAGGAUGAUCAGCCACAAUGGAACUGAGACACGGUCCAGACUCCUACGGGAGGCAGCAGUGGGGAAUAUUGGACAAUGGGCGCAAGCCUGAUCCAGCCAUGCCGCGUGUGUGAAGAAGGCCUUCGGGUUGUAAAGCACUUUCAGUAGGGAGGAAGCGUUGUGUGUUAAUAGUACACAGCGUUGACGUUACCUACAGAAGAAGCACCGGCUAACUCUGUGCCAGCCGCCGCUGUAAUAC
rnacentral:rRNA from 1 species